UACGUAGGGUGCGAGCGUUAAUCGGAAUUACUGGGCGUAAAGCGUGCGCAGGCGGUUCGUUAAGUUCGAUGUGAAAGCCCCGGCCUCAACCUGGGAACUGCAUUGGAAACUGGCGAGCUUGAGUGUGGCAGAGGGGGGUGGAAUUCCGCGUGUAGCAGUGAAAUGCGUAGAGAUGCGGAGGAACACCGAUGGCGAAGGCAGCCCCCUGGGCCAACACUGACGCUCAGGCACGAAAGCGUGGGGAGCAAACAGG
rnacentral:rRNA from 1 species